AGACUGUCAAAGACAAGCGAGAAACGGCAGAGCCUUACUAAUUCCCUUUGGGAAGAAGACUGUGGGCUGCAGCGGCUGCCUGCCAACUCCCAGAAAGUCACUGCAGACACUUCCACAGAAUCUACUGGAUCUCACCCUCGAGCUCCCAGACUCCUCGCUCUCCAGCUCAGACAGCAGGUACUCGAACUACUUUGGAGACAGCUUCUUUCAGUGGUGCCUGACACAUUUCUUACUUUCUUGUAACUUCAAAAGCCAGGGCUGAUUGCUUAACAUCAGUAGAACAGACAUCAGCAUAAAUACAGCCACAGAGCGCCACUCUGCCAGCUGGACAUCUCACUGCUGUGCCUUCUGGAACCCUAGCAUGUUAGCAGAGCUGGUGGGGUGACCGCAGGAAGACCCCGUGAAUUCUGAAAGUGAAUGUUGCCAGAGUAGUAGCUGUUUCAGUGGAAUAAAAAGAAAGGAAAUCCCAAAGAAAAAGGAUUGAAGGGAAACAGCAACACAAAAGCCUGUAAGUUUGUAUCUACGAACCGUAUGAAUUGCUUAUUACCCGUUUCCUAAGAGCCUGGAUGAAAACGUGAGUCUAUUUCUGUGCAUACUGUCUUCUAAAAUAAUGCCGGAGUAAUUAAAAAUAACUAUUAUUUUCUGUGAUCACAUGUUGCAAGUAGUCUCAGUACACUUCCGUAGCAGUGUUUCUGGUUGAGCCAGUCCUGAAGGAGUUUGCAGACAUCUGCUGUAGCAUAGGGACAUAAAUGAUCCAACAGGAUGUAGCCCGUAUGUGAACCUCAGUCUGGUUACAGGAAAUUACCAACUCAAAAGCUGUUGUUGUAAAUAAGUGUCCCUGCCUGCAGUGAGGUUAAACACAAAAUUCACAACAAACCAAAUUAAUAAUUACAAAGCCAGACUAACAGUUAUUUAGAGUUAAAAAGAAGAGCAGGGGUUGGAGCUAAAACUAGCUCAGUAAUUGUGAUCAUAAACCCGUUUCUAAGAUGGAAAAGUCCGGCCAGAAGGCCUGAAGGAGCGGGAGCCCAGCAGCGCCCUGGAGAAGCUGAAGCCAGAUUGCCGGCGUCGCCGGGGAGGUCCUCGGUCACCUUACUCAGGCAGUUACUAAUGAGUCCGGGUGGCCCGGCAGCUGGGCUCCCCGCAGCCCUCAGGAGGCUCUCUGGACCCCGGGGUGAGCGUGCUUUACCAAGGGACAGCUGUGGGGAGGACCGGAAGACCUGGACUCGGAGGAGGCAUCAGUGCUUUGACAAUGGAGGACUAACAGCGACCUUCGCUGUGUUCAUGGGCUGUAGUUUUGAAAAUUUCUGCAG
ensembl:lncRNA